UGAAUUUUUAAACGUAACGCUUGCACGACUAUUUGUCUCGUCGCUUCUACGUGAUAAAACGACGUUUGGAGAAUAGAAUUAUACUUGAAAAUAUUGAGUUCUCCGUAUGGAUUGAGACAAGUUUAAAAUUUAUUUGUCAAUCGCAACUCUGAGGAAGAAUUCGGAGAUUCUGAGGAGCUAGUUUAAUUCUUUAAUUUUACACAUAUUUUUUAAUCAUCAAGGAAGCAAUCAUUUUCAAUAUUUCUUUCGAUAUAUACAUAUACAUACGAUACUGUGAUAUUCUACGACGAAGUUAAAUGUACAUCGAUUGCCAGAUGAAAAACGCAAACUCCUAUGUCUCCCGCAUUGUCAUUUUGUAGUGAAGAGAUUAUAACGGAAAAAUAAUGCCUACGCAAUGCUCGUAGAGAUACUUGAAGAAUCGAGAAAUCAACGAGAACGUGUCAAACUUAGACUUCGAGCGUUGGAUCAUCGACUCCUCGUCGCUUUGAUCGGCAUUCUGCAUCGACAUCUGCAUCAGCUUGGUAACGAGUGCAGGAUUUGUCCGUAUCACUGGAAGUAGCAUUUUCGCAGGUAUUUGAAUUAAAUUCUAGCGACACGCGUUGCAAUCUGUCAAGCCCAAUCGCAGAUUUCAAGAGGAGGAAGAACGUCGACUUAAUCCGUACGUGCGAGAGUUGAGAACUGGCUUCCGAGACUAUUCCACGUCGUUUUGUAUGAAGCCGCCGACAUCGGCGUCACCGGCGGCCGCUGACGCCGUCGUAGCCGCCGUUGACGCCGACACAGCCGUGGCCGCUGUUGCCGUCAUCGCCGCCGCCGCCGAUCAUAUAUUUUGUUAAUUCCUCAAAUGCACCCAACCGAUCCAUUCGAAUCAUUUAGUACCGCAUUGAAAUCUCCGUUGAUUAGAUAGCUGCAAUCAGGGGGAGAUAGUAAUUUUCUAUGAGAACGUAUCUGGAAACGAAAUACGGGUCAUGCGACGCAAGAAGGCGCCGAAACCGCCGCCGCCGCCGUUGUUGUACGCCGCGUAUCGUCUAGCCGCCAAUGCGUAUGCGAAGUAUUCCCGCAGUAUUCGGCGAUGCUGCCCCUGAGAAUGCUCUCUUCGUAAUGACGAUACCACGCCCAUGCUUUCAUCUAAUUUACAAAGCGUAAGCCUCGUUCGAUGCAAACUACAACGCAAGGCGUUGGCGAUGGUUUACAAUUAAUUAGAGCAGUAGGAGCGCGUUGUAAUUUAAUUAAAUAAUACAAAAUUAAUUGUAAUAUUCUUUCUACAGAAUUCAGUCGAAUACAUCUAAUAGUUUCUUAUCUCGUCAAAAUUGUGUUUUCUACUAAAAUCUAUUUUUUAAAUUAUAAUUAUGGAUAAUUGAGAGAAAAAGAAAGAAACAUCGUGCAAGAUAAGAAAGCACAAUAGUCAACUAAAAAUAUUAGGCUAU